GUCCACGCCGUAAACGAUGGGUGCUAGGUGUCACGGGUAUUGACCCCUGUGGUGCCGUAGCCAACGCAUUAAGCACCCCGCCUGGGAAGUACGGCCGCAAGGCUAAAACUCAAAGGAAUUGACGGGGGCCCGCACAAGCGGUGGAGCAUGUGGUUUAAUUCGACGCAACGCGAAGAACCUUACCUGGGCUAGAACUCACAAGAAUCCUGCGGAAACGUGGGAGUGCUCGCAAGAGAACUUGUGGUGAGGUGCUGCAUGGCUGUCGU
rnacentral:rRNA from 1 species